rnacentral:rRNA from 1 species
CCUACGGGAGGCAGCAGUGGGGGAUAUUGCACAAUGGGGGCAACCCUGAUGCAGCGACGCCGCGUGGGUGAAGAAGCGCCUCGGCGCGUAAAGCUCUGUUAGCAGGGACGAAAAUGACGGUACCUGAAGAAGAAGCCCCGGCUAACUACGUGCCAGCAGCAGCGGUAAUACGGAGGGGGCAAGCGUUAUCCGGAUUUUCUGUGUGUAAAGGGGGCGCAGACGGCGAUGCAAGCCAGGAGUGAAAGCCCGGGGCUCAACCCCGAGACUGCUCUUGGAACUGCGUGGCUAGAGUGCAGGAGGGGCAGGCGGAAUUCCGGGUGUAGCGGUGAAAUGCGUAGAUAUCAGGAGGAACACCGGUGGCGAAGGCGGCCUGCUGGACUGCAACUGACGUUGAGGCCCGAAAGCGUGGGGAGCAAACAGGAUUAGAUACCCUGGUAGUC